UACAGAGGGGGCAAGCGUUGCUCGGAAUUACUGGGCGUAAAGGGCGCGUAGGCGGGAUGGCAAGUCGGUCGUGAAAGCCUUCGGCUCAACCGAAGAACGUCGGCCGAUACUGCCGUUCUUGAGGGAUGCAGAGGAGACUGGAAUUCCCGGUGUAGCGGUGAAAUGUGUAGAGAUCGGGAGGAACACCGGUGGCGAAGGCGGGUCUCUGGGCAUCUCCUGACGCUGAGGCGCGAAAGCGUGGGGAGCAAACGGG
rnacentral:rRNA from 1 species